GCCUUGCUAGCUCAAUCGGUAGAGCGUAAGACUCUUAAACAAGAGAUACAAUCUUAAGGCUGUGGGUUCGACCCCCACGUAGGGCU
rnacentral:tRNA from 1 species